UGGGAAAGGGUCUUACCGGUAUGGGAUGGGGUCGCGUCCUAUCAGCUUGUCGGUGGGGUAACGGCCCACCGAGGCUUCGACGGGUAGCCGGCCUGAGAGGGCGACCGGCCACAUUGGGACUGAGAUACGGCCCAGACUCCUACGGGAGGCAGCAGUGGGGAAUAUUGCACAAUGGGCGCAAGCCUGAUGCAGCGACGCCGCGUGCGGGAUGACGGCCUUCGGGUUGUAAACCGCUUUUGAUUGGGAGCAAGCGCAAGUGAGUGUACCUUUCGAAUAAGCGCCGGCUAACUACGUGCCAGCAGCCGCGGUAAUACGUAGGGCGCAAGCGUUGUCCGGAAUUAUUGGGCGUAAAGGGCUCGUAGGCGGCCCGUCGCGUCCGGUGUGAAAGCCCGUCGCUUAACGGCGGGUCUGCGCCGGGUACGGGCGGGCUGGAGUGCGGUAGGGGAGACUGGAAUUCCCGGUGUAACGGUGGAAUGUGUAGAUAUCGGGAAGAACACCAAUGGCGAAGGCAGGUCUCUGGGCCGUUACUGACGCUGAGGAGCGAAAGCGUGGGGAGCGAACAGGAUUAGAUACCCUGGUAGUCCACGCCGUAAACGGUGGACGCUGGAUGUGGGGCCCAUUCCACGGGUUCCGUGUCGGAGCUAACGCGUUAAGCGUCCCGCCUGGGGAGUACGGCCGCAAGGCUAAAACUCAAAGAAAUUGACGGGGGCCCGCACAAGCGGCGGAGCAUGCGGAUUAAUUCGAUGCAACGCGAAGAACCUUACCUGGGCUUGACAUGUUCCCGACGACUCCGGAGACGGGGUUUCCCUUCGGGGCGGGUUCACAGGUGGUGCAUGGUCGUCGUCAGCUCGUGUCGUGAGAUGUUGGGUUAAGUCCCGCAACGAGCGCAACCCUCGCCCCGUGUUGCCAGCAC
rnacentral:rRNA from 1 species